rnacentral:rRNA from 1 species
UCCCCUAGUAACGGCGAGUGAAGCGGGAAGAGCUCAAAUUUGAAAUCUGGCGGUCUCAGGCCGUCCGAGUUGUAAUCUAGAGAGGUGUUUUCCGUGCCGGACCGUGUACAAGUCCCUUGGAACAGGGCGUCAUAGAGGGUGAGAAUCCCGUCCAUGACACGGACUACCGGUGCUCUGUGAUACACCUUCAAAGAGUCGAGUUGUUUGGGAAUGCAGCUCAAAAUGGGUGGUAAAUUCCAUCUAAAGCUAAAUACAGGCGAGAGACCGAUAGCGAACAAGUACCGUGAGGGAAAGAUGAAAAGAACUUUGGAAAGAGAGUUAAACAGUACGUGAAAUUGUUGAAAGGGAAACGCUUGAAGUCAGUCGCGUCUGCCAGGACUCAGCCUUGCUUUUGCUUGGUGCACUUCUUGGUGGAUGGGCCAGCAUCGAUUUUGGCCGCCGGAAAAGGGCGGGAGGAAUGUGGCAGCUUUUGCUGUGUUAUAGCCUUCUGUCGUACACGGUGGUUGGGAUCGAGGACUGCAGCACGCCUUUGGUCGGGGUUCGCCCACGCCACGUGCUUAGGAUGCUGGCGUAAUGGCUUUAAACGACCCGUCUUGAAACACGGACCAAGGAGUCUAACAUGCCUGCGAGUGUUUGGGUGCAAAACCCAGGCGCGUAAUGAAAGUGAAAAGUUGGGACUCUUUAGUGAGGCACCGACGCCCGACCCUGAAGUCUUCUGACGGGUUUGAGGCAGAGCAUGUAUGUUGGGACCCGAAAGAUGGUGAACUAUGCCUGAAUAGGGUGAAGCCAGAGGAAACUCUGGUGGAGGCUCGUAGCGAUUCUGACGUGCAAAUCGAUCGUCAAAUUUGGGUAUAGGGGCGAAAGACUA